GAUGGCGACCGGCGCACGGGUGAGUAACACGUAUCCAACCUGCCGUCUACUCUUGGCCAGCCUUCUGAAAGGAAGAUUAAUCCAGGAUGGCAUCAUGAGUUCACAUGUCCGCAUGAUUAAAGGUAUUUUCCGGUAGACGAUGGGGAUGCGUUCCAUUAGAUAGUAGGCGGGGUAACGGCCCACCUAGUCAACGAUGGAUAGGGGUUCUGAGAGGAAGGUCCCCCACAUUGGAACUGAGACACGGUCCAAACUCCUACGGGAGGCAGCAGUGAGGAAUAUUGGUCAAUGGGCGAUGGCCUGAACCAGCCAAGUAGCGUGAAGGAUGACUGCCCUAUGGGUUGUAAACUUCUUUUAUAAAGGAAUAAAGUCGGGUAUGCAUACCCGUUUGCAUGUACUUUAUGAAUAAGGAUCGGCUAACUCCGUGCCAGCAGCCGCGGUAAUACGGAGGAUCCGAGCGUUAUCCGGAUUUAUUGGGUUUAAAGGGAGCGUAGAUGGAUGUUUAAGUCAGUUGUGAAAGUUUGCGGCUCAACCGUAAAAUUGCAGUUGAUACUGGAUGUCUUGAGUGCAGUUGAGGCAGGCGGAAUUCGUGGUGUAGCGGUGAAAUGCUUAGAUAUCACGAAGAACUCCGAUU
rnacentral:rRNA from 1 species